GACUCUCUGCUGUCAGGGUUAUCCUGCUAGCAACAUCAUAAAGCUAUGGCAGGGCAGCCAUCCCAAGACACCAGCUUUUCAGCUUGAGGAGGGUGUUUUGAAAUCCCCAGCCUAUGCUGGAUUUUGCUGUGGUUAUUGACCUUAAUCUGACCAUCAGAAUUACUAUCAUGUGAGAAGGCAGCAUGGUGAGAUUUUGGCGUCUUCUCCCUGUAACUUUUGAUUGACAGUGGGCUAAGAAAACAUCAUCUACUAAGGAGACAUGAUAAAAAUGCCUUGCUUCAGGCAUGAGCUGUGACACAAGUGCCCCAGUGCAGAGGGAGCAAUGGAAAGACUCAUCUAUAUUCCAGCAGAUUAUAAAGCAGAAUGAGCAGCAGAUCUGUUCUGGCUUGUUUAAUACAAACUGUAAAAUUCAAUUCAUCUGGUCUUUGGAUUAAUUCAGUGACUUACAUUUGGUGAAUUCCUAUGUUUCAUGAAGACAGACUGAAGAUGGCAAGAGACAGAGGAUAAAGCACUUCACGGGGUUUGUUCCAGCUGUUAAUCAGCCUCACCGCUAAAAGAAGAAGCUUCAGCACAUACACUUCAAGAGGAGAGAAAAUGUGUAGAGAUAUGAAAUGUGCUUUCAGAAAUAUUUACAAGAUCUUCCAAAGUCCUAGUUCCUUGCAUUUGUCCCUGGAAAGCAGAUAGACCAGUGUCACAGCCCUCAGCCCUUCAGCAAGGGAUAUGCACAGCAAAUGUAUACAUGAGUAAUUAGAAAGGGGAGAAGACACAGCUGCGUGUACCAGAUACAUUGUGCUGUGGCAGAUCCCCAUUCCUUGGUGUUUUCAUGGCUGUGCCCCAGUUUACCCUGCUUUGGCACCCAUCUUGUUCCUGCGCUGAAGUACCUAAUGACACUGCAUUCCCGAGCAAAUGCCUGUGCUGUUCCUUAGACAGGGCAGAAGGAAAUUCACCUACCACAGAGGGAGAUCCUGUCUGGCAAAAUUUGAAUAUCCAAGUCAGGCAGACAAGUUCCCUUGUGGGAAUAUUCCUCUCCUCUGACAUGCCCAACCGGUGAGUUUGCCUGUGUUUUUGAAACUGCCAUACCUCAAAGAGCGGAGUGUAAACCUGCCACGAGAAGGUUUGGUAUCCACUGAGUGUUUCUAGAGCUGGGUAAGGAGUCAGAUCAUGAUCUCAGUCUGACUUUCUCUUUGAAAGAGCUUUUCAAAAUCCUGAGCAAGCCUAAUAGAUGCCUAUGAAAAUUAGGGUAUGAAAAUUAAUCAUAGUGUGCAUCAUCUCUUUUCAUUCAGCUAUCAAAACUGGGAGUGAACUUAGAAACUCCCUUUUUACAGAGGAGGAAGCAGAUGUGGAGCGAAUCAAUGAAGCGGAAAGAGAAGACACCUCCACCCUGCCCCCUCACCCACUACACCUCCCAUAGGUACCUGUCAUGCGACUCUUGGCUGUCAUUUGUGAGAGGUGUUAGCAAACACAGCUGUUCUUAGCUGUCCCUGGGUGGAGCCCAUGGAUGCCACCCUAGGCUGAAUACCUGUCAAGUACCCUAGAUACAUCCAAGGACCUAGGCAAGUGCUGGUCCAAAUGGCUCCUGUGCCUCAGGGACUGUGAAGAGGCUGGAGCGGAGGUGCAAGUGCCUUCCUUUCCCAUACGUUGUGGCAGCAGCCUCAGCAUGCCACCUGCUUCUCUGUCAUCAGAUUCUCCCAAAAAGGACUGUGCAUGAGGACCUCGUCACUCACAAUCUGUUCUUAAGGCGUACUACUUGCAGGUGAAGAGUUUUGUUACAGAGGGAGGUCAAUGAGAGUGUGUUUGAAUCUCACAAGCAGAGACUCUGCUUGUACCCUUCUCAGACCAACCAUUCGAAGGCAGGACUCCACCACUCUGUUGUAAGCUGCUCAGUCAAAGUUGUGUGACAA